AAUCAGAUCCGAUGGAAAGCGAAGCAAUUAAAUCGAACUGGAAAACGCAUUAAGGUGAGACGGCAAGGAAGAAGAGGGAAGAUCGGACUCGGAGAUGGCGCAGAGGGGUGAGUUGGCUUCUGAAGAGGUGGAGCUUUCGAUCAGUCAGAUCCUUGGGAAGAUCGACCGGUUCAUUGAGAUGGUAAGCGUUUUGGUUUCUUUGUGGAUCUGUGAUUUUGAUGUGCAUUAAGUUUCUUUGUGGAGGCUUUUUCGUAGAUUGCAGAGCUGCUUGAUUCAGGGAAGGUGACGUUUAAGAAGAUCGGUGAUGAGUAUGAGGUGAGUUUCGAAAAAGAUCAGUGCCCGGAAGGUGUUUGUGUUAAUGCCUGAGUGGAAUUUUUGUGUGCUUGAGGGAGGAAGGCCUUGAGAUGAUUCAUGUCCAUCUCUUGGUUGAUGACUCUGUACUUGAAGGUCUUAUGAUUACCGCAAAGCAGGAUGGCUCAUGGCAGUUCAAGGGAGACCUCUUUGGAGAAUCAUACUGUCGACCACAAGCUCUUCAAGGGAGACCUCUUUGGAGAAGCAUAUUGAAAUGAACAUAACUGGCCUAAAUUCAAUGUUGUAGCAUAGGUAAUUAACUUCAAUGUGCUUUAAGUUCUAUUUGGUCAUUUGCUUACUAGCU